UUCUUUCCCUCCUUCCUUCUUUCCUUCUGAGCCUGGAACUCCCAGACCUUUACCUCUAAAGCGCUGGGAUAAUAAAUACGUGACCCUCCACCCUUGGCAGUUUUCCUGGCAUCUUUUUCCCUUCUUCAUGUGCUUGUGUGAAAUCUAACUGGCAACUUGUGACGUCACUCAGCCCACGCUCUCAUCCUCCUGGCAAGUGGCACCGUGAGCCAACCCGUGAAAUCCGGCAACCAGUGACUUAGCUCAGCCCGCACCGAGCCAGAGUUCCCUGGCACCCGGGGUCUUCUUGGGGCAGCGCGGGCCAGAGGGAACUAAGAGCUCCCUGCACGAGCUGCAGGUCACCGGGCUGUGGCGCCCUGGGUCUCGCGGCCACUUCCGCUGACGUCCACGGGUCGUGUGCCCAGGCGGGUAGGGACCAUUACGCCCUGCUCAGAGCCGCAGCCCUCGAGGGGCUCUUCCUGUCCGCCAAGGGGACCGACCCGACCGGACUGCUAAAGGGAAGCUGUCGGCGGGGCUGUCUCCGAAGACCCCCAAAAGGACCCUGGAUUUAUCUACAGCAGGCACAGACGCUUGCAGCAGACUGUAGCUUCAACUCCAGGAGAUCUGACCUCCACAGGAAUGGUGCCAAGAACUGGUAUGAGGUACCCACAUGCUCACAGGGACACAGACGGAGCACAAGGAAGGAAACCAUUUCUGCAGUGUGCUGAAGUAGCCCAAACUGCUUAGCCAGAGGGCCAGCUGCUUCCAGGCCUGGAUGUUGUCCUUCCGUAGCCACUGUUCAAUGAUUAUCUCCAUGUACAACGGGGGGAUCCCCACCAGCAGCAGCAGGAUGAGAGGAUGAGACCCUGUGGAUUGCUUCUAUCCCAAUAUGGUAUGAUGGACCACGUCUUUCUGAAAGGUUGCUGUGAACACCCUCAAGAAAUUACUUUGCUCAACUGCCGACUGAGAUGAAUCUAGCACACAAGUUAUAUCAUGAAAGACCUGAAUAACAACGCCCCAAUUCAGCAUGAAGCAGUUUGGAGAGAAUGUCCAUAUUUCCAAUAUUGUUUAUAAAUGUUCUUUUACAUUUAAAGGGGGAUAUGAUAUAUGAAUAAUUUGCAUUGGUAUGGAUUUUAAGGUCAAUUUUGUUAUAUAUAUAUGUAUGUAUUUCUGAUCUUGAUUAAGGUAUUGUGAUUGUGUAGUUCAUUUAAAAAUGUAAUAUAUAUAUAGGUUGUUAAUGGAUAAUCAUCAAUAAUCAAGCUUGUAGUCACAUUAGAUUUUCUAGAUAUAUAGAGUUAUAUUUCGGUUAAAUAGGCAUUCUUCAUAUCUUUCAAAGACUACAGAACAUGGCAUUUUAAAUGUCUUAAUAACUUAGGAUUGUUCAUGACAGUGAGACACAUCCGCUCCUGACAGCACCAAUCUACUUCAAGAGGAAGAUGGGCAUUGAAGAGGCUCCUUAUCAAAUUUGAUAGCCAUUUGGGCAAGAAACUGCUCUUGCCUGGACUGUUGCAUAAACUGGACACAGAGAACCUGCAGAGAGAGGACUGCUGAACUUGCCUAAAGGUGAAAUGGUCUUUCAGGGUUCCUGCUUCAUGAAAGAGUCUACAAGACAUUCUGCAGGACACAGCAGAUCGUGACUGAACUGUCUUUGAAAUUUCCUGCUUCAUGGAAAAGUCUGCUGGAUACUAUGGGCCUGAAGGUUGAAGACUGAUGCCCCAAUGGUACAGAGGAACUUUG